rnacentral:rRNA from 1 species
UAGGGAAUCCUCGGCAAUGGACGAAAGUCUGACCGAGCAACGCCGCGUGAGUGAAGAAGGUUUUCGGAUCGUAAAACUCUGUUGUUAGAGAAGAACAAGGACGUUAGUAACUGAACGUCCCCUGACGGUAUCUAACCAGAAAGCCACGGCUAACUACGUGCCAGCAGCCGCGGUAAUACGUAGGUGGCAAGCGUUGUCCGGAUUUAUUGGGCGUAAAGCGAGCGCAGGCGGUUUCUUAAGUCUGAUGUGAAAGCCCCCGGCUCAACCGGGGAGGGUCAUUGGAAACUGGGAGACUUGAGUGCAGAAGAGGAGAGUGGAAUUCCAUGUGUAGCGGUGAAAUGCGUAGAUAUAUGGAGGAACACCAGUGGCGAAGGCGGCUCUCUGGUCUGUAACUGACGCUGAGGCUCGAAAGCGUGGGGAGCAAACAGG